rnacentral:rRNA from 1 species
CCUUGUACACACCGCCCGUCAAGCCACGAAAGGGGGGGGCAUCCUAAGUCGCCGUGCUAACCGUAAGGAGGCAGGCGCCUAAGAUGAACUCCCUGAUUGGGACU